ACACCCCCGCCCCGCAGUCCCUCGCUCCUGCUUCUUCCCCUCUCCCCUCUUCCCUCCCCUCACUCAGUGCUUCCACAUGUCUCUCCUCCCCCCAGUCCAGAUGGGAGCUGGCUCCUUCAGAAAGGGGGCUCAGAACAGGGUGUGGGGAGCUACCUCUCUCUGCCUCCCCCCACCACAUCUGCCUGCAGGGCCGGGAGCCCCCAUGAGCCAGUGGUCCUGAGCCUUCUGAAGUUAGGAUUCUGCCUGGUGGUGGGGAUCCUGACAUCAAGGAUGGGACACCCCGGAUGGAGGUUCCUGGGGCCUGGCCCCCAAGACUAUGAAGAGCCUUUGCUGAGGCCAUGAGGGGUUACCAUGGCGACCGAGGCAGCCAUCCCCGCCCAGCCCGCUUUGCUGACCAGCAGCAUAUGGACGUGGGCCCAGCUGCCAGGGCCCCAUACCUGUUGGGCUCCAGGGAGGCCUUCUCCACUGAGCCCCGCUUCUGUGCCCCGAGAGCUGGCCUGGGACACAUUUCUCCUGAAGGGCCCCUGAGCCUGAGUGAAGGGCCAUCGGUAGGCCCUGAGGGAGGGUCAGGGGGGGCCGGGGUUGGGGGGGGUAGCAGCACCUUCCCCAGGAUGUACCCUGGCCAAGGCCCCUUCGACACCUGUGAAGACUGUGUGGGCCACCCCCAGGGCAAGGGUGCCCCCCGCCUGCCUCCCACACUCCUGGAUCAGUUUGAAAAGCAGUUGCCAGUUCAACAAGAUGGCUUCCACACGCUACCAUACCAGCGAGGGCCAGCAGGGCCAGGGCCCGGGCCAGCACCAGGGACUGGCACUGCCCCAGAGCCCCGCAGUGAGAGCCCUAGCCGCAUCCGGCACCUGGUUCACUCUGUGCAGAAGCUCUUUGCCAAGUCUCACUCUCUGGAGGCGCCGGGGAAGCGGGACUAUAACGGGCCCAAAGCUGAGGGAAGAGGUGGCUCUGGAGGAGACAGCUACCCCGGCCUGGGUUCUGGAGGCCCCCAUACCUCCCACCACCACCAUCACCACCACCAUCAUCAUCACCAUCAGUCCCGGCAUGGCAAGAGGAGCAAGAGCAAGGACCGCAAGGGGGAUGGGCGGCACCAGGCCAAGUCCACAGGCUGGUGGAGUUCCGAUGACAACUUGGACAGUGACAGCGGCUUCCUGGCGGGUGGGAGGCCUCCUGGGGAGCCUGGUGGUCCCUUCUGCCUGGAGGCUCCAGAUGGGUCCUACCGGGACUUGAGCUUCAAGGGGCGCUCGGGCGGGUCAGAAGGCCGCUGCCUUGCCUGCACUGGCAUGUCCAUGUCACUGGAUGGACAGUCGGUCAAGCGAAGUGCCUGGCAUACCAUGAUGGUCAGCCAGGGACGGGAUGGAUACCCGGGGGCCGGGCCAGGCAAGGGGCUCCUGGGUCCGGAGACCAAGGCCAAAGCCAGGACUUAUCACUAUCUGCAGGUGCCGCAAGAUGACUGGGGGGGUUACCCCACUGGUGGCAAGGAUGGGGAGAUCCCCUGCCGCAGGAUGCGGAGCGGCAGCUACAUCAAAGCCAUGGGGGAUGAGGAGAGCGGAGACUCCGACGGCAGCCCCAAGACAUCUCCCAAAGCAGUCGCCCGACGCUUCACCACCCGUCGCUCCUCCAGCGUGGACCAGGCCAGGAUCAACUGCUGUGUCCCACCCCGGAUCCACCCCCGGAGCUCCAUCCCCGGCUACAGCCGUUCCCUCACCACCGGACAGCUCAGCGAUGAGUUGAACCAGCAGCUGGAGGCCGUGUGCGGGUCCGUGUUUGGGGAGCUGGAGUCCCAGGCCGUGGACGCCCUGGACCUGCCCGGCUGUUUCCGCAUGCGGAGCCACAGCUACCUCCGGGCCAUCCAGGCCGGCUGCUCUCAAGACGACGACUGCCUGCCCCUCCUCGCUGCCCCUGCUGCUGUCUCAGGGAGGCCCGGCUCCUCCUUCAACUUCAGAAAGGCCCCGCCCCCCAUCCCGCCGGGAAGCCAGGCCCCGCCCCGCAUCUCCAUCACCGCCCAGAGCAGCACCGACUCCGCGCAAGAGAGCUUCACGGCGGCCGAGGGCCCUGCCCGGCGCUGCAGCUCCGCCGACGGCCUGGACGGCCCCGCCAUGGGCGCGCGCACCCUGGAGUUGGCGCCGGUGCCGCCCCGGGCCAGCCCCAAGCCCCCCACACUCAUCAUCAAGACCAUCCCUGGCAGGGAGGAGCUGCGGAGCCUGGCGCGGCAGCGGAAGUGGCGGCCGUCCAUUGGGGUGCAGGUGGAGACGAUCUCAGACUCAGACACCGAGAACAGGAGCCGGAGGGAGUUCCACUCCAUCGGCGUGCAGGUGGAAGAGGACAAGAGGCGAGCAAGGUUCAAGCGCUCCAACAGUGUGACGGCCGGCGUGCAGGCAGACCUGGAGCUGGAGGGCCUGGCUGGCCUGGCCACGGUGGCCACAGAAGACAAGGCCCUGCAGUUUGGACGCUCCUUCCAGAGGCAUGCCUCUGAGCCCCAGCCUGGGCCCCGGGCCCCCACCUACUCAGUCUUCCGCACAGUCCACACGCAGGGCCAGUGGGCCUAUCGUGAGGGCUACCCACUGCCGUAUGAGCCGCCGGCCACCGAUGGGUCACCCGGCCCUGCCCCCGCCCCCACCCCUGGCCCCGGGGCCGGCCGCCGUGACUCCUGGAUAGAACGUGGUUCCCGUAGCCUCCCUGACUCAGGCCGUGCGUCCCCCUGCCCACGGGACGGCGAGUGGUUCAUCAAGAUGCUGCGGGCAGAGGUGGAGAAGCUGGAGCACUGGUGCCAGCAGAUGGAGCGUGAGGCGGAGGACUAUGAGCUACCCGAGGAGAUCCUGGAGAAGAUCCGCAGCGCUGUGGGCAGCACACAACUUCUCCUGUCCCAGAAGGUUCAGCAGUUCUUCCGGCUCUGUCAGCAAAGCAUGGAUCCCACUGCGUUCCCUGUGCCCACCUUCCAGGACUUGGCGGGUUUCUGGGACCUCCUACAGCUCUCCAUCGAGGAUGUGACCCUCAAGUUCCUGGAGCUACAGCAACUCAAGGCCAACAGCUGGAAGCUCCUGGAGCCUAAGGAGGAGAAGAAGGUCCCUCCGCCGAUACCAAAGAAGCCCCUGCGGGGCCGGGGCGUGCCGGUGAAGGAGCGCUCCCUGGACUCCGUGGACAGGCAGCGGCAGGAAGCGCGCAAGCGGCUCCUGGCGGCCAAGCGCGCUGCUUCCUUCCGCCACAGCUCGGCCACCGAGAGUGCCGACAGCAUCGAGAUCUACAUCCCCGAGGCCCAGACCAGGCUGUGA
rnacentral:lncRNA from 13 species